rnacentral:rRNA from 1 species
UAAAGCAAGAAAGGGCGUAUGGGGAAUGCCUAGGCACACUCCGGCGAAGAAGGACGCAGCAAACAGCGAAAUGCGACGGUGAGCGGUAAGCACGUGAAGAGCCGUCGAUAUCCGAAUGGGGGAACCCACACGGAGUCAUAUCCGUGUAUCACAUGUCGAAUACAUAGACAUGAUGAGGCGAGACGCAGGGAACUGAAACAUCUAAGUACCUGCAGGAAGAGAAAAUAAGAAUGAUUUUCUGAGUAGCGGCGAGCGAAAGGGAAAGAGCCCAAACCGAUCUUAGGAUCGGGGUAGUAGGAUCAUCGAGAAAUCUGACAGAGGAUCAUAGAGGAAUCACAUGGGAAGGUGAGCGAGAGAGGGUGAGAGCCCCGUACUCGAAAUGAGAGACUGGAGAGAGAUGACACCUGAGUAGGGCGGGACACGAGAAAUCCUGUCUGAAUCAGCCGGGACCAUCCGGCAAGGCUAAAUACGAGAGAGUGACCGAUAGUGAACCAGUACCGUGAGGGAAAGGUGAAAAGAACCCCGGGAGGGGAGUGAAAGAGAACCUGAAACCGUAUGUCUACAAGCAGUCGGAGCGAAAGCGACGGCGUGCCUAUUGAAGAAUGAACCAACGAGUUACGUGCACUAGCGAGGUUAAGUGGAAGACACGGAGCCGAAGCGAAAGCGAGUCUUAAGAGGGCGGAUAGUUAGUGUACGUAGACCCGAAACCGCAGUGAUCUACCCAUGUCCAGGUUGAAGCGCAGGUAAAAUUGCGUGGAGGACCGAACCUGUGAGCGUUGAAAAGCUUUAGGAUGAGAUGUGGGUAGAGGUGAAAUUCCAAUCGAACGCGGAGAUAGCUGGUUCUCCCCGAAAUAGCUUUAGGGCUAGCCUCAAGUAGUAAGUAUAGGCGGUAGAGCACUGAUCGGGCUAGGGGCCAUAAAGGUUACCGAACCCUGUCAAACUCCGAAUGGUUAUACUGUAGAGCUUGGGAGUCAGACUACGAGUGAUAAGAUCCGUGGUCAAAAGGGAAACAGCCCAGACCACCAGCUAAGGUCCCCAAUGUCGUACUAAGUGGAAAAGGAUGUGGGGUCUCUAAAACAACCAGGAUGUUGGCUUAGAAGCAGCCACCAUUUAAAGAGUGCGUAAUAGCUCACUGGUCGAGAGACCCUGCGCCGAAGAUUACCGGGGCUAAAGUACGAAACCGAAGCUGUGGCUACGACAUAUGUCGUGGGGUAGGGGAGCGUUCUGUGAGGGCUGAAGUCGUUCUGUAAGGAACGGUGGACUUCACAGAAGUGAGAAUGUUGGUAUGAGUAGCGAAAAGAAUGGUGAGAAUCCAUUCCACCGAAAGCAUAAGGAUUCCUGGGCAACGAUCGUCGUCCCAGGGUAAGUCGGGACCUAAUCCGAGGCAUGGAGCGUAGGAGAUGGACAACUGGCAGAUAUUCCAGUACCGGUAAUGAUUGUUUGAGCGAUGGAGUGACACAGGAGGGCAGGCAGGCAGGAGAUUGGUUGUUCCUGUACAAGCGUGUAGGAUGGGACGCAGGCAAAUCCGCGUCCUGUGAGUCUGAGGCGUGAUGUGGAGGUUCCGGAAACGGAACUGAAGCUGCUGACCCCACACUGUCGAGAAAAGCUUCUAGUUAGAGAAUUACCGCCCGUACCGUAAACCGACACAGGUAUGCGGGGAGAGAAUCCUAAGGUGCGCGGGAGAACCCUCGUUAAGGAACUCGGCAAAAUGUACCCGUAACUUCGGGAUAAGGGUAGCCGCUGUUGUGAAGUCUGAACAGACGGAGCAUGAGGCGGUCGCAGAGAAGAGGCCCAAGCGACUGUUUACCACAAACACAGGUGCCUGCUAAAGAGAAAUCUGACGUAUAGGUGCUGACACCUGCCCAGUGCCGGAAGGUUAAGGAAGGAUGUCCGGAGCAAUCCAAAGCAUUCGACCGAAGCCCCGGUGAACGGCGGCCGUAACUAUAACGGUCCUAAGGUAGCGAAAUUCCUUGUCGGGUAAG